UUAAGGCUACACGGGGAGGUUGAGUGCGUGUGUGUGUGUGCUUCUAUCUGUGUGCAUUGUAUGUAUGUAUGUGUGCGCGUCUCUGUGUGCUGUUGUGUGUCUGCCGUCUGUAAUUCUGGCUGUGUAAGGAGUGGCGUUGGCUUGGGUUCGCGCUCUGCGCUACGAAACCCGGUGGCCUGAGUUUCAAUUCCCAGCAGCCACUGCCAACGUCUUUCCCUCUCCUCGGUCAACCCGGCCUUAAACGAGUGCACGGCUGCUGUGUAAACACAAGCACUGGGGGAGACAAAAGCCGCAGCUGGCCAUGGUGCCGGCCACACCAACCCAUCGUGAGACGUUGCCGGUCUUCGUAGGUGCUCGCUAACGGCGCUUGCCCCAACGGCCCGUGCAGGCUUCCACGGGGAGGCGGGAGGGGGCUGGGGCGAUCGUUGUCUUUGCUACUCGGCCGUGUGUGAGUGUGGAGAUGAAAACAAUUGGGAAUUUUAACAGGAAUCGUAAUUUUGUGUUGAAAUGGAGCAAAGCCAAAAUUAUACCGCGUGUGAUUGGCCCGUGGUGCAAAUGCACGACAAUAGUCGUGCCCUGAUUGGUUGAGACGGAUCUUAUAAGCAGUUCUAUUCCUACCCUGUUCACUGCUCGCAGGGGCUGUGAUGUACCGGUGCGGUCGCUGCGACCUUAGCGGUGCGGUCGCUGCGACCUUACCUGUGGGGUCGCUGCGACCUUACCUGUGAGGUCGCUGCGACCUUACCUGUGAGGUCGCUGCGACCUUACCUGUGAGGUCGCUGUGACCUUAACGGUGAGGCCGCUGCGACCUUAACGGUGCGGGUCGCUGCGACCUUACCUGUGAGGUCGCUGCGACCUUAAUGGUGAGGUCUCUGCGACCUUAAUGGUGAGGUCUCUGCGACCUUACCUGUGAGGUCUCUGCGACCUUACCUGUGAGGUCGCUGCGACCUUAACGGUGCGGUCGCUGUGACCUUAACGGUGCGGUUGAUAUGACCUUAACGGUGAGGUCGCUGCGACCUUAACGGUGCGGUUGAUAUGACCUUAACGGUGCGGUCGCUGUGACCUUAACGGUGCGGUUGAUAUGACCUUAACGGUGAGGUCGCUAUUCUGUUCACGUGCAGGCCAUGCUGGCAGGGGCCGUGUUCACUUGCAUGUCUUACUACGCGUCGUCGUCUUCGUCGUCUUCGUCGUCUUCGUCGUCGUUAUCGCGUCACACUCGGUCGCUUUUGAACGGCUUGAUUAUAAAAUUCCACUUUUGCAGUUGGGGGAGAGCGGUGGCGCACCGGUUGGCGCUCCGCACUGGGUGAUCCCCGCAGCCACCGGUGGCGAGCGAUUUACAUGAACCGGGCGUGAGGUGGGGGGGCACCCAGGGGGGCACCCACCCCCACCCCUCGCCAAGCCGCGCCCAACGAGAGCCGUCGACCGACGCGGCACGGGUGGCCGGGGGCGGUGUGAACGGUAACGAGUUUCCGGCGUCUCGCGGCUCUCCCCUUCGACGCCCUGCCGGCUAUUCCGUUCGGCGCGGGAGCGCCGCUGCUACGCCGCGUUCGCUUCGCCGGCGGUGUGGUGGGGUUGCGCGCCGGCGGAGUGCCGCGGUUGACCUCGCCGGCCGGCGAAGUGACGGCCGGUUAAGCGUCCGUCAGCCGCGGCGGCCUAACGCCGUAGGCCACGGGAGGCAUGGCGGGGGGGGGGCGGGGGUGGGGGGGAGUGAAACGGUGACGUGGGCUUCCCCUUCCGUCUCUCCGCGCCGGUGGUUCGCGAGCCUCGGGCAGCGCCCCCACCCACUGUCGGUCCCGGGUCAUUUUAAUUUUGAGAGCGUUGCACGAGCGGCCUGCAGCCACCGCCGCCGCCGCCGCCCUCCCGAGGGGCUGGCGGUGGCGGCGAAUCCCUCGGUUGUGCCGGACCGUCGCCCCGUCCCUCCACUCUUCUCUGUUCAGGUUGCGGUGUCGGGGGGUCGUCGUCACGAGGAGGGGUUGUGAGUCCGGAGGCCUCUGUCCCCACGCUGGGGCGAGGCAGGGAAGGGAAGGCGUCUCUCUCUCUCUCUCUCGUGCGUGCGUGUCUCGAGCGUAACUGGAAUCGCUGGAACUCUGCGAAGCAACUCUGGUGAUGUAAGGAAAUUGAGCGUUUAACACAGUGGUGGUGGUGGUGGUGGGGGUAUGUUGUUGUGGGGGGGGGGGGGGAGCGCAUUCGCCCGUCUAGCGUGGGCCCCGGUGCGAGAAAUGAAACGGGGUUGGGGUGGGGGCCCCUCCUCAGAUAGCCCCGACCCACCCCCGCGCCUUCGGCCCGUCAGGCCGAAGGCGUGCUGGCCCCUGCGGCCGUCGUCCCGCGGCCUCGGUCGGGGGCCCGGCGCUCGUUGAUUUGAAUGCCUCGUGGUCGUCGUCGUCGUCUGUUGCCGUGGGUCGCACGGACGCGGGUUUGUUAUUGACGUCCCGCCGAGGUUGAGCCCGCGCGAGGAGCGUUCGUGUUCACCCUGGCUGAGUUCGUGUUCACCCUGGCUGUGUCUGUGUUCACCCUGAGUCUGUGUUCACCCUGACUGAGUCCGUGUCCACCCUGAGUCCGUGUUCACCCUGGCUGAGUUCGUGUUCACCCUGGCUGAGUCUGUGUUCACCCUGGCUGUGUCUGUGUUCACCCUGGCUGUGUCUGUGUUCACCCUGAGUCCGUGUUCACCCUGACUGUGUCUGUGUUCACCCUGACUGUGUCUGUGUUCACCCUGAGUCCGUGUUCACCCUGACUGUGUCUGUGUUCACCCUGACUGAGUCUGUGUUCACCCUGACUGUGUCUGUGUUCACCCUGAGUCCGUGUUCACCCUGACUGUGUCUGUGUUCACCCUGAGUCCGUGUUCACCCUGACUGUGUCUGUGUUCACCCUCACACUCUGUCCGUGUUCACCCUGACUGUGUCUGUGUUCACCCUGAGUCCGUGUUCACCCUGACUGUGUCUGUGUUCACCCUCACACUCUGUCCGUGUUCACCCUCACUGUGUCUGUGUUCACCCUCACACUCUGUCCGUGUUCACCCUGACUGUGUCUGUGUUCACCCUGACUGAGUCUGUGUUCACCCUGACUGAGUCUGUGUUCACCCUGAGUCCGUGUUCACCCUGACUGUGUCUGUGUUCACCCUGAGUCCGUGUUCACCCUGACUGUGUCUGUGUUCACCCUCUCACUCUGUCCGUGUUCACCCUGACUGUGUCUGUGUUCACCCUGACUGAGUCUGUGUUCACCCUGACUGUGUCUGUGUUCACCCUGAGUCCGUGUUCACCCUGACUGUGUCUGUGUUCACCCUGACUGAGUCUGUGUUCACCCUGACUGUGUCUGUGGUCACCCUGAGUCCGUGUUCACCCUGACUGUGUCUGUGUUCACCCUGAGUCCGUGUUCACCCUGACUGUGUCUGUGUUCACCCUCACACUCUGUCCGUGUUCACCCUGACUGUGUCUGUUCACCCUGAGUCCGUGUUCACCCUGACUGUGUCUGUGUUCACCCUCACACUCUGUCCGUGUUCACCCUGACUGUGUCUGUGUUCACCCUCACACUCUGUCCGUGUUCACCCUGACUGUGUCUGUGUUCACCCUGACUGAGUCUGUGUUCACCCUGACUGAGUCUGUGUUCACCCUGAGUCCGUGUUCACCCUGACUGUGUCUGUGUUCACCCUGAGUCCGUGUUCACCCUGAUUGUGUCUGUGUUCACCCUCACACUCUGUCCGUGUUCACCCUGACUGUGUCUGUGUUCACCCUCACACUCUGUCCGUGUUCACCCUGAAUGUGUCUGUGUUCACCCUGACUGAGUCUGUGUUCACCCUGACUGAGUCUGUGUUCACCCUGAGUCUGUGUUCACCCUGAGUCUGUGUUCACCCUGAGUCUGUGUUCACCUUGACUGAGUCUGUGUUGACCCUGACUGAGUUUGUGUUGACCCUGACUGAGUCUGUGUUCACCCUGACUGAGUCUGUGUUCACCCUCACACUCUGUCCGUGUUCACCCUGACUGAGUCUGUGUUCACCCUGACUGAGUCUGUGUUCACCCUCGCGCUGCGUCCGUGUUCACCCUGGCUGAGUUCGUGUUCACCCUCACGCUGUCCACGCUCGCGGUUCCCAAUAAACUCCCCCUAACCCGAGAGGAGAGAGA